CAACCUCCCCUAACAGCAUCACCAACCAGAAACCAACUAUUCAAACGCCUCGGCCUGUGGGGGACAUUUCUCAGUCAAACUACCACACUCCCUGAGGUUACAAGCAGUGAGGACUGCUGAGAGACACGUUCGGACCAUCCGAGCUGCCUGGAAGACACACCCACAAUUCCACAGCUGCCUGCUCCAGGGUUCCGGCUUUCAUGAGCCCGUCAUUCUUGCUGGGGUGAGCUUCAGCACCACAACUGCCCAUGAGCCGUCUCUGCUCCUGGACCCCCUCACCCACACUCCUGCGAGUAACCCCGAUAAGCAUAUCGGUUUCCCGAGUUGGACCCUCACCUUCACGGCAUGAGGUGAGAGACACAUCCAUUCGCAUCUCCCCAGGAAUGGUGUCACGCGGCACAGAUGGCCCCAGGAUCUCAGUAUGUAUGCAGAAUGUUUUGCCUGCAGGUACAUCUGUGCAUCAUACGCAUGCAAUGCCUGUAAUGACCAGAAGAGGGCGUUGGGUCCUCUGGGACUGAGCUGGGAUGAGGGAAUCGAACAGAGAUCCAGUGCUCCUAACCACGGAGCCAUCUUUCCAGCCCAUUUUGUUUUGAUUGUUUUUUACCUCGGGUACUUAGUACAGACUCAGUAAAUACUUUGCUGACAGA